GGAAGCUAUUCAUGACCAGAAAUAUAUCCCAAUAGAGAAAUUUAUCUCCUACCCAUAUCUGGAACUUCACAGAACAAAUGAGGACAGGCAUACCCAACAGGGAGAGCCUAUGAAAGGAGUGAAUCAGGAACAGGCCUACUUCUAUUUUGAGCCUCUCCACCAGUUCUACCAGCUUGAUGCCUUUCCCUAUGCUACCUGGUAUUAUCCUCCACAAUAUAUUGCUCACCCAUUAUUCACCAACAUCCCUCAACCCACUGCCCCUGAGAAGGGUGGAAAAACUGAGAUUCUGCCUC